UACGGAGGAGGCAAGCGUUAUCCGGAAUUAUUGGGCGUAAAGCGUCCGUAGGUGGUUUUGUCAGUCUGCUGUCAAAGUGCGGGGCUUAACCCUGUAAAGGCAGUGGAAACUACAAGACUAGAGUGCAGUAGGGGCAGAGGGAAUUCCCAGUGUAGCGGUGAAAUGCGUAGAGAUUGGGAAGAACAUCCGUGGCGAAAGCGCUCUGCUGGACUGCAACUGACAUUGAGGGACGAAAGCUAGGGGAGCGAACAGG
rnacentral:rRNA from 1 species